rnacentral:snRNA from 1 species
AUAUAUAUACAGUACAUAUUCUAAAAUUGGAAUGAUACAAAGAAGAUUAGCAUGGCCCCUGUGCAAGGAUGAUACGCAAAUUUGUGAAGUGUUCCAUAUUUAU